rnacentral:lncRNA from 1 species
ACAAUUCAUCUCUAAGAUUUCGAUGAUAACAAAGGAUGAAAAUGGCACCCUAACAAAUUUAUCUAAGUAUGCAGGACUCUAAUAAAAAAGAAGUCAAAUAGAUAUACAUCAGAUACAGACACAAGUUCAGAAUGACCACUUAGAAGAUACUCAUACAGAAGCUCUGAUUCUGAAUAAAGGGAGCACACAAAGCGUAACAAACAAAGAGAGAUCAGACACUCUGAAGCAGAAGAGCGCACUCCAGGAUCUGAACCUUUUACACUCUUG